rnacentral:rRNA from 1 species
AUGUUGCACAUUCCACGGCUCAAAAAAGACUGGGUGUUGAAAGAUGAAGAGGUGUUACAAAUGAAGCAAAAGAGCCUCCAAGAGGCCAUCGCACACAAAGCACAAAAUAUCCCGAAAACGCUGGUUUCCCAACACAAGUCUUACCAUAUUGACAAUCCAAACAGAAGCCUUGACAUACCAGUCUUUGCAGUUAAGUGCCAAGGGGCCAUGCGUCCCAUGGCACUCAAACCCAUGAUUGGAUUGGGCAUCAGGACCACGGCCAUUAGCUACGAAAGAACCAAGAUGGCGAGCUCUCUUUCUGUAUCUGACUCGGUUUUACUUGCACCUUUGUCCUGGUUUGUAACAUUAUUGUAA